AAAAGUCCAUUAUAUUAAGCUGGGCCCUAUGGGGACAUAGUGGUCAUGACGAACACACUUGCUGUGGUCAGGUGCUCAAGUGCACUCAAAUGCCUUUCUGAAUUCAGGGCUGGUGAAGUGUGUUCUUAUGAGUCAGUUUGAACUAAAAUGUGUCCGUGAGAGCUGCGUUCAUUCAAAAAGGAGAAGUGUCUUAAGCUCUAAGGAGGAAAUUAAACCUUGCUGAGGCCAGCCAAGAACAUGUUGAGAUCUUUUAGUUUCGCUGGAAACAUGUAAACCUGCAUACCUGAGUCAGACACUUAAAAACUGUUUUCAGAAGCAUUUUUAUGGAGAAAGCCCCCAUCACUGUCCCCAUAUUUUCAUAGCUGGCAUAUACACACUUUAGACUCUCAGGAACUGUUCACCAUGCAGAGAAAACAUGAAGAGUGAACUGAGGCACGUGGAUCUGCAGAUCUCACCCGGGAGCUGCACUGCACUCAGUGGGGCUGCAGAAUGUUCCUUUCUGUGCAGGGAAAGCUAAGAGGUGGGUAGUACAGUUUCAUAUCACAGUUCAGCACAUUUUGACAGGGAAAUGUGCUCUUCCUCAGCCUUUGAUGGCGCCUGGGUUAGAAAAGUGUCCACUAUCCUGCUGGUUAGCACUCCCAGUACUCACAAAUACUGAAAAGGAAAGGGAAGACGACAGAUCGCUAGUGAAGUCCCAAGACAAGUUCUAGCAAAAUCCAAGCUAUGUUGCAGUGCUCCCAGGGCAGCUGUGCUGUCCAGCACUGACCACGUGCUGCAGCAAGGUGUUCCACACCUUCUUGUUCUGUAGCUCUACUGAAAGUAAACAGAUGGCAAAUUAGCUCUCAGGUGUUUCACUAAAUUCAGGAGUGAGGCUAAGCUCAUGUAAUUUAUACAUUGUUCUGGGCUCCUUAAAGUUAAAAUCAUUGCCAUUACACUAAUUUUUACACCCACACUUUCUCUGUCUGCAGCCUUGCCCAUCCUUUACUCAUCACCUUGGAAUCUGGCCCCCUCAAUCUAAAAGAGAAAAUGGGAUUUACAAACCCACUCCCAGCUUCAUACCAUCAUCUUCUCCUCCAGGUGCAGCCUUCUGCUUUUACACCAGGCUGUGUACCUGCAAGGACUUCUUUAGCCUGGCUUGGACUCAGGGCUCUGCACAGAGCUGUCUUGGUCAGUGUCAGUGCGUGGACGUUAUACAUAGAUGAUGAGUCCUUAGCCUGGAUGCUGCACAAUGGUGGCAGCAUUUUCAGUCAUUUCUGAGUCUGGAUUUUCACACACCAAAAAUCGAUUAAUUGAUUGCAGCCAGGAAUAUGUCCUCCAGCUGCUGGACGUCCAUGAGCAAUGUCAAGAAAAAGGCUCACUCAUUGCAACUAGUUUGCAGUUUCCCACUCCAUCACCUAAUAAAGAGCCAGAGCCAAACAGACCAAGUGCAAAUGCUUCUUUAUGAUCAAAUUUCAUAACACAGCAGUACAUUGUAAUCUAGUGUGUGUUUCCUGUGUAAAAUCCAUUCACCCACUGGAAGACCAUGAGCAAACACCAAUAAAAUUCUUAGCAAAAAAAGGGGGGGGGGAGGUGGAGAUGUCAAUACAAUACAGUAUUUUUUCUGCUGCAGGAAUGGAUGGAGGAGCUGCUGUGUGCGAUGGUCACGGCAUCACUUGUGCAUUUAUCUGGACGAGGGUCAACCAAAUGGCCAAGCCGAUACUGGCUGUUGAGUUUCCGAAGUUUAAAUUCAACUACCAUAUGUAGCAGGAGUCAACAUAAUCUACAAGAAGCACGUUUGCAGUGUAUGAACAAAAUCGGUGCAGAAAAUACUGUUAUUCUGCUGAUUACAGAUCUUCCUCAUCUUGUUUUGGCCAGGUGCAGAUUUUUUGUGGGCUUAAGUGAACAUGCAGUUAGAGACAUUAAGUGGCUGUAGACUAGAUCUUUACUUUGGCUUUAAAAGUAUGAUUAUUUUGCAACAUAAGGGUUAGUUUUGCUUUGGUGGUUUUUGCUUUGUUUUGUGCACUAACAGCUAGAUGUUGUUUUCUCAUUAUCAUUAUUAUUUGCACAAUGAAAAACCUCGUUUCUGUUUUGUUCAAUAUUGUUCUCUCAAAUGCACAUGCUCAGCGUGCCUCCAUUACAAAAAAGUCCUGCUGAGAUCCCCACCAGCAGAACAGAAGCUUGUGUAGUGCAAAGGUCUCAUCGGAACUGGUCCGUAGUGUUCUGUAAUUUCAUCAUGUUUAAGCACUUAGGAAUAAAAUUACUGUAACCAGCCUGGCAAUGCUUUGCCUCAGAUCACAUGCAAGACGAUUUUUUUUUUAAAAGAAGGUUAUUAUUUUAUUCUACUGUAGAAUAGACCUUUAUGUACACAUAUACAUUCUGUAUUUAUAUACAGAAUUUAUAUUCCGCCCUGGUGAGACCACAUCUGGAAUAUUGUGUCCAGUUCUGGGCCCCUCAGUUCCAGAAGGACAGGGAACUGCUGGAGAGAGACCAGCAUAGGGCAACGAAGAUGAUCAAGGGAGUGGAGCAUCUCCCUUAUGAAGAAAGGCUGAGGGAGCUGGGUCUCUUUAGUUUGGAGAAGAGGAGACUGAGGGGUGACCUUAUUAAUGCUUACAAAUAUGUAAAGGGUGAGUGUCACAAGGAUGGAGCCAGGCUCUUGUCAGUGGCAAACAAUGAUAGGACAAGGGGCAAUGGAUACAAACUGGAGCAUAGGAGGGUUCCACUUAAAUAUGAGAAGAAACUUCUUCUCAGUGAGGAUGACAGACACUGGAACAGGCUGCCCAGGGGGAUUGUGGAGUCUCCUUCUCUGGAGACAUUCAAAACCCACCUGGACAUGUUCCUGUGUAGCCUCAUCUCGAUGUUCCUGCUCCAGCAGGGGGAUUGGACUAGAUGAUCUUCUGAGGUCCCUUCCAAUCCCAAACAUACUGUGAUACUGUGAUAUGUUUAUCAUUAUGUUCUAAUGAAAUGUCUGAUAUAGAACUUGGGCAAAGCAGGGUGAUUUCUUGAAUUCCAGUGGUUUAAUUUUCUAAGCUUUAAACCAGCAUGCUCUCCCUUAAACUGUUGAUUAAAGACUAGAUUUUAAUAUAGAAUCUGCUAUACUUAGGAAAAUUCUUGCAUGCUGAAUAUUACAUAAAUUGUACAUUCACAAACUGAAGCUGGGAUCUGGGCAGAAGAAAUGGAAACUUCACAAAGACUGAGGCUCGGAGAAAGCACUGCUUAAAUGCUGCAUUCUUUUGUGUGUGUGCAUGCUUUUCCACCAAGGCAUGAGAAAAAUGUCAUUUAUAAAGUUUUGAACAAGCCAAAUCUCCCUUUGUCAGAACAACGAAAACAAAUUAAAUACAACUGUGGUGAGGAAGGAUUGAGAAAAUCAAAUGAUGGGAAAAGUCUCCAUCUUACUCAACUACCCCUGCCGCUGAAGCCGUGGCUCUUGCCAGCGGCCUCGGUGUGCCCUCCGCCAGCCACCCUGGCUGUCAGCACAACAUUAGAAACAUUCCCACUAAUCCCAUCAUUCACCGCUCUUGUGGAAACCAGCAGGCUCACGAGCAAAUCCACUCGCGCUCAUCCUAUUGAAAGCGCUGCCUUAUCGGGCAUAAUCAAAAUGGCUCAUGUGCAAUGUGAAGAGCAAGUGGGUUUUACCAACACUCACGCCAAAGCUAAAUAUGGAUUAAAUUGCACCCUGCCGGCACAAAGUGUGCAUUGUGUGGCUUUGCUCCGAGUACCCAACCUCAGCUUGCUCCAUGCCUGAUAAAACACUACACGCUCCCUUCAAUGCCCUUUUUUUAAAAGGGUUAAACAAAGCAGCAGUGUCUGCACUGGAAUGUGCUGCAGGUAGCGAUCGAAACCUCCAUCACCCAAGUCAGCCAGAGGAUUAAUUUAAUGCAUGAAGGUUAUUGCUUGGAGGCACUUCACAGGAAUGCAAACCAAAGGCCCUCAAAGAGCCCACAACAAAGGGAAAAGCCAUAAGAUCUCCAGCUCAGGGUAGGAUGAGGAGCUUUGGCUUGAGAGCUUGGUCUACCCUGUACAACAGACAGGAAACACCGUUGUACUGAAAAGCCAUCCGAGCAGGGAAAAGGUUUUGGGGUGGCUUUUUUUAAAUUGUUCUGUAGACCUCUUUUAGAAAGAUAGUUGGAUAGAAGGUUGCAGCCUUACUUUAUGACAUUAUAUAUUUUAUGACUAUGCAAGUUUUGUUACGACAUAUGUAAUUUGUUUUGAAUUGUAUUUUGUUUCUAGUUGAAAGAGAAGAAAUACCUGUUUUUCAAUUCUUGGGUUUUUUUCCUUGUUUUUUGUUUUUUAUUUAUUUAUUUAUUUUGGGCAGGGGCACGCUCCUGUGAUCCUUGCUGUGCUGAGAGUCGCAAAGCUGCCUUUGUGGACACAAAGGGGUAGAAUUGAGCUGCCACACCUGCCGAGUGCUCUGGGCUGCUGCCGUGGCUCGCAGCCUCAGCACAAGACACGAGAAGACUACUCAGGAGCGCAGCACACGGGCACAGCCACACAAGGAGACCUCGCUGUUCCGGGAAGGUGCUCUCCAGCUACCCUCUGAAUUAUGUGCUUAAAAACUAGAGAAGUAACAGCAAUAUAGAGACAAGAACCAACGCAGAAUUUGCUAGAUGGAACUAGUGACAGGGACAGAGCACCUUUCAAUUUCUCUCAAACUUUCCCAUAAAAACCAAUAGUGCUUUAAAUUUUCCACCACAAGCAACCUGGCUCUAUGUUGCCUACCAUCCUUGUCUGGAUUCAGUCUCCAGUCACUGUUUCUUACAUCUUUUCCAUAAGAAGUCAUAUAAUUAUAUGCAAUUAUCAAAUAACUCUUCUCAGUCCUCUACUCUUGUCAGUCAAACCAUGCCACUCCUUUCUUAAUAAUUUAAAUUCUGGAGCAUCCCACUUGAGUAACAUUUUUCUGAAUCUUUUGAACAUAUAAACCUCUUGGACAAGGUUUGAAAAAUGGCCUAGAUUAGUUUUCCCCACCGGUAUUUUCUCAUUCCCUCUUUCUUUCGCCAACGUUUGGAACCACUCCUGGCUGCAGCACAACACAAGCGCAGGCUCCGUGGGGCCUCUCAGGGCCAUGGUUAGCGCAUCCUUUUCUGUUUCAAAAAGAAAGCUAUUUUCUCAUUAUUUACCUAUCUACCUUCUCUGAAACAGUCUGCUGUGUGGAGUACUGGGUUUUCUUUUCAAAGACAUUAUACUGUAGUGCUCAUCAGCCUUUUUUCUUUUAACUUUCUAACUUACAGCUUCUUCGAGGCCCUCCAACUUGAAGAACAAUGCUACUGUUAAAAAGAAAGCAUCUCAAGACAAAGAUGUACCAAAUUAUACCGCAAUUUUAACACAAAUCAUUAUGGAAUUCUAAAAAUAAUAAAUAAUUUAUCACUAACUUUGUACAGAAUGCUUUUAUCAAUUUGGGAUCAACAAACCAAGACCAGUUCAUGUAACAUUUUAUUCACAAGUAGAAAAAGUAUUACAAAACAAUAUAUAAAACACUUUAAUUUACAUUCCUUAAAGGAGUAUUUAAAACAGCACUCUAAAUCCCUAGAGAUGAUAUGUGGGCAGUCUAAAUGCGGUGGUAGCAUAUGUUUUCUAUUGGCAUGUACAACAUUGCUUGCCACAGGCAAUAUAAAAAAGACCAAUUUGGUUAAAUUAAAGAAAAAACUAUAUACACAAUAUACACAUAUAUUUAGAAAGCACUCUCUUAAUUUUUUUCCCCCAAUUUGCUCUCAAGUUAUCUGUCACUCAUUUAAAGACAUGAGUAUUUUUCUCACCAGACAAAAACAAUUAUACAAAGUGUAAAUUCCAAUGGGAAAACAUACUGUGGCAGACGCUGGCAAAACCUUUGAAAAUAACAUUUUAAAGAACUGUUAUUAGUGAAAAGUUAAAUCUCCAUAUGUUCUAAAAAUAUCUUGCCAUAUACUGAAAUGCACAUUGGAUUUUUUUCUAUUUACAAAGUAUAUACAAAGAAGCACACAUCUCUUCAUGCACAUGUAGUGAAAAAAGAAUGUUUUGUCACUUCUUAAAUGUAUGGAAGUAUCCAAAGAAAUUAUUCAAAACUACUCUUAUUUGAGUAUAUAAAGUGUUUAGCUGAGUAAUUGUACACCCUGUAUAAGUGCAUAUUAUUCUGUCAGUGACCAAAUGGUGGUAUUUACCACCAUAUAAAAAAAUUUAAAACAAUCACAUAAUUUCUUCAUUUACUUGGUUUGGAUUUGAUAACUGUUAUUCAUGAUUUUUGCACACAUGAAUAAUCUCACAGGUUUUAGCUGAAGCAUCUCACUGUCACUACAUCCAGUUCAGCUGUUCUUGUGCAGGUUCAAGCUUCUACUGGGUGCUUCCAAGAAAAAGUCUUCUUCCAUUUUGGAACAUGAAUACUGUCUCAACAUUUCCGUUGCCACACAAACCAUGUGUGGAAAGAUGAGUAAUAUUUAUUGCAAUUUGCAUUUGUUUUGCUGAUCACAUUGCUUUUGUCAAGGCACACUGGGUAGUUUAAAGAAUAAUUGGUGGAGUUCAUCACUGACAGGUUUGAGCCUGUUGAAUGUAAUGAAUCAGUAGAGGUUACUGGGAUUACUCACAGAAGUGAAAACUAUUUUAGGGAUAAAAAUGGCUGCAGAACAAAUGGCAUUAUGUCAUGGGACGUGGUGCAACAAACUGCAGUUAAAAUCUUAAAGAACAGUAGUGAGGGCAGAGUUGACGAUUUGCUAGGCAUGCGUGCAACUUCAAGGAUUCCAUUCAGAGGUAUUUUAAAAUGUUAUGAAUAAAUGUUUACAUUUUGCAUGAAAAAAAUAAAUUUACACAAUACUAGAGCGAGAAGGACAGAGUGACGUGAAUGAAAAGGCCUACUAUAUAAAUGAAUCAGAUCACCAUGAAGCUUGACCCUUGAAAAUAAUGCAUUACUAAAAAAUAUUAGUAAUAGUCUCAUUGUAUGAAUACCUUCAUGACAUUUUGAUGUGACAGUUGAUUAUAUUUAUUUCAACAUCCAAAAAUUACAUGCUAUAACAACAAGUGCUUUGUUCCAAUACCAAGACUACCAAUUAAAGACAACAUCCCUACCUAUAUGGCUGACUUUCACUAAACUAAAUCUAAUUUAAAGCUAAUCGCCUGCUAUAUUUAACAAAAUAAUGCCCCCUCCCACAAAUGUAACAAUUGGAUGGAGGGGACUUCAACCAUAGAUAUUGUAACAUGCAAAUUCUCUAACUUCCCAAACUAGCUUAUUGACUAUAAUGUAAUACAUAAGAAAAGCUUCAGCUUAUCAAUAGAUGAUCCUUGUAUAAAUAGAAAUGU